rnacentral:misc_RNA from 1 species
GAUGAAGAACGCAGCGAAAUGCGAUAAGUAAUGUGAAUUGCAGAAUUCAGUGAAUCAUCGAAUCUUUGAACGCAUCUUGCGCUCCUUGGUAUUCUGAAGAGCAUGCCUGUUUGAGUGUCAUUAAAUUCUCAACUACACUGACUUUGAAUUGGUGUGGCUUGGAUUUGGGGGGAAAAUUGUUGUGGGCUUUUUGUAUAGUCUGCUCCCCUGAAAUUGAUUAGCGGUACCUUUGUGGAACUGUCUACAGGUGUGAUAAUUAUCUACAUCUUAGACAUCUGCUGGAAUGCUGCUUUCUAAACCUUACUUGUAUUGACAAUCUUGACCUCAAAUCAGGUAGGACUACCCGCUGAACUUAAGCAUAUCAAUAAGCGGAGGA